GAAGUAGCCUGGGCCCUGGGACAGCGGCAUGGUGGCUGGACCACAGAGCCAGCAGCACCAUGCCGGUCACCGGGAAGACUUUCCAUUGGUACCGGGUCAACUCAGAGUCGGAGGAAGAUGAGCAGGACUCAGAGGAGGUUCGAUUAAAACUGGAAGAGACCAGGGAGAUGCAGAACUUGAGGAAGAGGUCCAACGGAGUGAGUGCUGUGGCCCUACUAGUAGGAGAGAAGGUUCAAGAAGAGACCACUCUAGUGGAUGAUCCCUUUCAGAUGAAGACAGGUGGCAAGGUGGAUAUGAAGAAGCUGAAGGAAAGGGACAAAGCUAAGAUCACUAAAGAGGAAGACCUUCACUUGGGGACAUCAUUUUGUGAAGAAACCAACCAAAGGGAUGAAGACAUGGACAUGAUGAAGUACAUUGAGACAGAGGUAAAGAAGAGGAAAGAGAUUAUAGAACAUGAGGAACAGAAAGUCAAGCCAAAGAACACAGAGGACUGUCUUUAUGAGCUUCCAGAGAACAUUCGUGUUUCCUCAGCAAAGAAAAUGGAGGAGAUGCUUUCCAACCAGAUGCUGAGUGUCAUCCCCAAGGUGGACCUUGGCAUUGAGGCUAAAAUAAAAAAUAUCAUUUCCACGGAGGAUGCCAAGGCCCGUCUGCUAGCAGAGCAGCAGAACAAGAAGAAAGAGCAAUAACCUCCUUUGCGCCUACCAACAUGGCUGUGAAUUACGUGCAACACAACUGAUUUUAUCAUGAGGAGCUCAAUGCCCCCAUACAGAGAAACAGAGAGAAGCCCAAGGCCCAACCCUUGAGAGUAGGUGACAUGGAGAAGCCAGAGCCUGAGCGAUCCCCUCCUAACCGCAAGCGUCCUGCCAAUGAGAAGGUCACCGACGAUUAUCACUGCAAGUUCAAGAAGAUGAACAGGCACUACUGA